UACGUAGGUGACAAGCGUUGUCCGGAUUUACUGGGCGUAAAGAGCGCGCAGGCGGUCGAUCAAGUCGAGUGUGAAAGCCCCCGGCUCAACUGGGGAGGGUCAUUCGAAACUGGUCGACUCGAAGGCAGGAGAGGGUAGUGGAAUUCCCGGUGUAGUGGUGAAAUGCGUAGAUAUCGGGAGGAAGACCAGUGGCGAAGGCGAGUCUCUGGACAGCAACUGACGCUGAGGCACGAAGGCCAGGGGAGCAAACGGG
rnacentral:rRNA from 1 species